rnacentral:rRNA from 1 species
UACAGAGGUCUCAAGCGUUGUUCGGAUUCAUUGGGCGUAAAGGGUGCGUAGGCGGCGCGGUAAGUCGGGUGUGAAAUUUCGGAGCUUAACUCCGAAACUGCAUUCGAUACUGGCGUGCUUUGAGGACUGGAGAGGAGACUGGAAUUUACGGUGUAGCAGUGAAAUGCGUAGAUAUCGUAAGGAAGACCAGUGGCGAAGGCGGGUCUCUGGACAGUUCCUGACACUGAGACACGAAGGCCAGGGGAGCAAACGGG